UCCGUAGGGUGCAAUCGUUGUCCGGAUUUAUUGGGUUUAAAGGGUGCGUAGGUGGCUUUUUAAGCCAUGGGUGAAAGCCCGCAGCUCAACUGUGGAAUUGCCUGUGAUACUGAGGAGCUUGAGUGCGGUUGAGGCAGCUGGAAUUGGUGGUGUAGCGGUGAAAUGCAUAGAUACCACCAGGAACACCGAUUGCGAAGGCAGGUUGCUAAGCCGUAACUGACACUGAGGCACGAAAGCGUGGGGAGAAAACAGG
rnacentral:rRNA from 1 species